rnacentral:tRNA from 1 species
GGGUGUACAGCUCAGUGGUAGAGUGUGCGCCUAGCAUGCACAAGGUCCUGGGUUCAAUCCCCAGUACCUCCA